AAGCUCGUAGUUGAAUUUCGGGAUCGAAUUGUUGGUCGUGCUUCGGUACGCACUGGCAUUAUCGGUUCCUACCUUCUGAAGAACCGCGAUGUCAUUAAUUUGGUGUCGUGGGGAAUCAGGACUGUUACUUUGAAAAAAUUAGAGUGUUUAAAGCAGGCUCGCGCUUGAAUACAUUAGCAUGGAAUAAUGAAAUAGGACGUUGAUCCUAUUUUGUUGGUUUCUAGGAUUGACGUAAUGAUUAAUAGGGAUAGUUGGG
rnacentral:rRNA from 1 species